AACGAACGCUGGCGGCAUGCCUAACACAUGCAAGUCGAACGAGACCUUCGGGUCUAGUGGCGCACGGGUGCGUAACGCGUGGGAAUCUGCCCUUGGGUUCGGAAUAACAGUGAGAAAUUACUGCUAAUACCGGAUGAUGUCUUCGGACCAAAGAUUUAUCGCCCAGGGAUGAGCCCGCGUAGGAUUAGCUAGUUGGUGGGGUAAUGGCCUACCAAGGCGACGAUCCUUAGCUGGUCUGAGAGGAUGAUCAGCCACACUGGGACUGAGACACGGCCCAGACUCCUCCGGGAGGCAGCAGUGGGGAAUAUUGGAACACGGGCGCAAGCAUGAUCCAGCACUGCCGGGUGAGUGAUGAAGGCCUUAGGGUUGUAAAGCUCUUUUAACCGGGCUGAUAAUGACAGUACCGGGAGAAUAAGCUCCGGCUAACUCCGUG
rnacentral:rRNA from 1 species